AUGUGCACAUCACACGUGCACAUAAAAUUGAGUUUGGCAAUAAAUAAAGGUGGAGAAGUGGGGAAAAGAAGAAAAAGAACCAAGAAUUAGAAGACAAGUUGUUCAAGGAACGUGCUAGCCCUGCUCGCAAUUGGGUGAUUCCUUCAUUCAAUUACCUAAGAGCCCCUCAUAAUCUGCUACUCAUACCCUUCAACAAAUAGGGUACAAUAGUAAAAUAACUUAACUUUUAUUCCCUCUCCAAUUAUUCCACGGUUCUCCUCCAAUAUUAUAAAUUUAGCCAACUGUCCAAGAAAAUUCCAACGCCGCUUAUAGAUCAAGCAUUUUGGGUUAGGAGAGAACAAGGAUAUUUCCGUUCUCAUCAACAGAUCCAAACUCUUAGCCUAGAAAAUCAACCAUGUCUACCAAGCAAGGUGGAAAGGCAAAGCCUUUGAAGGCAGCAAAGACUGAAAAGAAGGAGUACGACGAGACUGACAAGGCUUUUCUUGCAAAGAAGAAGGAAGAGGAAAAGGCCCUAAAGGAGCUCAAGGCAAAGGCUCAGAAAGGGUCCAUUGGUGGUGCUGGCCUGAAAAAGAGCGGAAAGAAAUGAGGAUGUUAUAUUCUUCGUAGUAUUGAAAAACUCUCUUCUUACCCAUGGCUAGAUUUGGUGUUCUAUGUUCUACUAGUUGAUGUUUUUGUUAACUUUUGGGAUGUUUCUAUGGUGACUCAAUGAUUAGGAUGGGGCACUUGCUCCUUUCCAAUAUAUUAUGACAUGCAUUGUGCUGCCUUUGCCUAUAAAUAAUUCAUAUUGGCGUAAA